rnacentral:rRNA from 1 species
GACGAACGCUGGCGGCGCGCUUAACACAUGCAAGUCGAGCGAUGAAAUCUUAACAGAACCCUUCGGGGUGAAGAUAAGACGGAUUAGCGGCGGACGGGUGAGUAACACGUGAGUAACCUGCCUUUUACACAGGGAUAGCCUCAGGAAACCGGGAUUAAAACCUGAUGAAACUUUCAAAUCACAUGAUUAAGAAAGUUAAAACUCCGGUGGUAAAAGAUGGACUCGCGUCCCAUUAGCUAGUUGGUGAAGGUAACGGCCCACCAAGGCAACGAUGGGUAGCCGGCCUGAGAGGGUGAACGGCCACAUUGGAACUGAGAAACGGUCCAAACUCCUACGGGAGGCAGCAGUGGGGAAUAUUGCACAAUGGGGGAAACCCUGAUGCAGCGACGCCGCGUGAGCGAAGAAGGCCUUCGGGUCGUAAAGCUCUUUUAUAUGGGAAGAUAAUGACGGUACCAUAAGAAAAAGCCCCGGCUAACUACGUG